rnacentral:misc_RNA from 1 species
AAGACUAUAGACCUGCGGAGUACCUGCGGAGGGAUCAUUAAAGAGAAAACUGCCCUUUGGGUAGAUUUCCCACCCUUUGUUUACUUUACCUUUGUUGCUUUGGCAGGCCCGUCUUCUGACCACCGGCUUCUAGCUGGUCCGUGCCUGCCAGAGGACCCCCAACUCUUGAUUUUAAGUUGUCCGAGUCUUAUAUAAUAGUAAAAACUUUCAGCAACGGAUCUCUAGAUCGGAAGAGCACAC